rnacentral:rRNA from 1 species
AGAGUUUGAUCCUGGCUCAGAGUGAACGCUGGCGGCAGGCCUAACACAUGCAAGUCGAACGGCAGCACAGCAGUAGCAAUACUGUGGGUGGCGAGUGGCGGACGGGUGAGGAAUACAUCGGAAUCUACCUUGUCGUGGGGGAUAACGUACGGAAACUUACGCUAAUACCGCAUACGACCUACGGGUGAAAGCGGCGGACCGCAAGGCGUCGCGCGAUUGGAUGAGCCGAUGUCCGAUUAGCUAGUUGGCGGGGUAAUGGCCCACCAAGGCGACGAUCGGUAGCUGGUCUGAGAGGAUGAUCAGCCACACUGGAACUGAGACACGGUCCAGACUCCUACGCGGACGCACGCACGUGGGGAAUAUUUGGACAAUGGGGCGCAAGCCUGAUCCAGCCAUGCCGCGUGUGUGAAGAAGGCCUUCGGGUUGUAAAGCACUUUUGUCCGGAAAGAAAAGCACUGGGUUAAUACCCUGGUGUCAUGACGGUACCGGAAGAAUAAGCACCGGCUAACUUCGUGCCCAGCAGCCGCGGUAAUACGAAGGGUGCAAGCGUUACUCGGAAUUACUGGGCGUAAAGCGUGCGUAGGUGGUGAGUUAAGUCUGUCNUGAAAGCCCCGGGCUCAACCUGGGAAUGGCCAUGGAUACUGGCCUCCCUAAAGUGCGGUAANAAGG